rnacentral:lncRNA from 1 species
GAGUUUCCGAGGCCGAGCAGGCUAGUGCUGGAGCCCCACAAGACAGACCCACAGCCAGCCGAGAGCCAGGAGUGCUGCCUCUGGACAGGCAGAGGACUGCCCGGCGCGGGCAGGAGAGCUGUGGUGUCCGAGCCGAGGCUCGCCGCCUGCACCCGCGCGGAACGGGCGGAGGCUGGUGUCACAGUCUCAGCAACUUGGUGUGCCAAGCUCCGCACACUCCUCACGCUCCUUAGGACGCACCGCUGAAGGCUCUCACCCGCAGCGGCGCGGGAGAGAAUGAGUAGGGAGAUGGGAAGACACGACUGGAGAGGUGGGUUGUAGAGCAGAAAAGAAUCAAGCACAUCUGACCAGAAAAAGGGACCAAGGGGUGCCCGCGAAGCGUGACUUUGCGGGACAAAGGUCCCAGAACACCGUGCACGUGCUCAAACGCCGGUUGGGAUGGGGUGGGGACCCAAAAUCCCUCACCUGACUAUUGAUUGGCCACUCGGGAAGGCCUGAUUUGCAUCCAUCCCCUGCCCCC